rnacentral:rRNA from 1 species
GUACACACCGCCCGUCACACCAUGGGAGUCAGUUGCCCCAGAAGUGGCUGCGCCAACCCGCAAGGGAGGCAGGUCCCCAAGGAGUGGCUGGUGACUGGGGUGAAGUCGUAACAAGGUAGCCGUAGGUGAACCUGCAGAAGGAUCA